UGCCUCGUUCUUCAGCAGCUAGACACAACCUGCAGUGUGUCUGAAUUGGAAAACGUGGCUAGAAGAGUUAACAGGUUCUGCUUUCCUCACUGUACUCUUAAUUGCAGUGGUGACAAUGAGACCUGUAACAAAU
ensembl:snoRNA